CCAUAACACCUGUGCACUUGUUGGAUGUCUAGAGACGUAAAGUCGACAGUCAUCCACUUACACUAAACAAUAAUGUAACAAAUGUAGUCUUAUUAUAACAAAAUAAAACUUUCAACAACGGAUCUCUUGGCUCUCGCAUCGAUGAAGAACGCAGCGAAAUGCGAUAAGUAAUGUGAAUUGCAGAAUUCAGUGAAUCAUCGAAUCUUUGAACGCACCUUGCGCUCCUUGGUAUUCCGAGGAGCAUGCCUGUUUGAGUGUCAUGAAAACCCUCAACCUUAGAUUGGUUAUUUGACCUUUCUUUGGCUUGGAUUUGGACGUUUGCCGAUGUCAAGUCGGCUCGUCUUAAAAGUAAUAGCUGGAUCUGUCUCGCGACAUGGUUUGACUUGGCGUAAUAAGUAUUUCGCUAAGGACAUCUUCGGAUGGCCCUGUUGCAGGACUAAAGACCGCUUUCUAAUCCAUUGAUCUUCGGAUUAAUAUUCAUAACAUCUGGCCUCAAAUCAGGUAGGACUACCCGCUGAACUUAAGCAUAUCAAUAAGCGGAGGA
rnacentral:rRNA from 1 species